UAGUCCACGCUGUAAACGAUGAGUACUAGCUGUUGGGUUCGGUGUAAAGGAUCUAGUGGCGUAGCUAACGCGGUAAGUACUCCGCCUGGGGACUACGGUCGCAAGACUAAAACUCAAAGGAAUUGACGGGGACCCGCACAAGCGGUGGAGCAUGUGGUUUAAUUCGAUGCAACGCGAAGAACCUUACCUGGUCUUGACAUCCUAGAAAGAAUUCAGAGAUGAAUUUGUGCCUUCGGGAAUCUAGUGACAGGUGCUGCACGGCUGUCGUCAGCUCGUGUUGUGAAAUGUUGGGUUAAGUCCCGCAACGAGCGCAACCCCUAUUGAUAGUUACCAUCAUUAAGUUGGGUACUCUAUUGAGACUGCCGCUGACAAGGCGGAGGAAGGUGGGGACGACGUCAAGUCAUCAUGGGCCCUUACGACCAGGGGCUACACACGUGCUACAAUGGGAUAUUACAGAGGGGCUGCGAUACUGCGAAGUGGGAGCGAAACUCAGAAAGGGUAUUCUUAGUCCGGGA
rnacentral:rRNA from 1 species